UUGGCGGUAACCCAAAGGACUUGGCGGUGCCUCAAACCCACCUAGAGGAGCCUGUCCUAGAACCGAUAAUCCGCGUUAAACCUCACCCUCCCUUGUUAACCCAGCCUAUAUACCGCCGUCGCCAGCUUACCUUAUGAAAGAACAACAGUAAGCCCAAUGAGUAAUGCUCAAAACGUCAGGUCGAGGUGUAGCUAAUGNGAGGGAAAGAGAUGGGNUNCAUUUUCUGA
rnacentral:rRNA from 1 species